CGGCGCCCUGGCGGAGGGCGACGCCGGGCUCACGGCCUGGGUCAACGAACUGGUGUGGCGUGAAUUCUAUCGUCACGUCGCCGUC
rnacentral:tRNA from 1 species